UUAUUUUAAUAAGGAGUUGAGAUUAAAGAUUAAGUUGAGUACUUAAAUUUAAAUAAUUUGGCGGUAUUUUAAUUAGUUAGGGGAACUUGUUAUUUAAUUGAUAUUACACGAUAAGAAGAACCUACUUAAUACUUUAUAUAUCGUUGUUUGAAAAUUAUUUUAAAAAAAUAAUAAUUUAGAUUUAUUAUAGGAAAAUAAUUCAAAUCAAUAUGUGGGAUUAGUGGGGUAUAAUGAGUUACAUUAAAUUUAAAUAUGGAUUUAUAUAGUAAAAUAUAUAAUGAUAUAGGAUUUAAUAGUAAAUUUAUAUAAUAAGAUAAAUUGAAAUUAAAAUAAAAUAUG
rnacentral:rRNA from 1 species